rnacentral:rRNA from 1 species
UCGAGCGAGAAGCCAGGCUUCGGCCUGGUGGACAGCGGCGAACGGGUGAGUAACACGUGGGUAAUCUGCCCUCGGCACCGGGAUAGCCCGGGGAAACCCGGAUUAAUACCGGAUGGCCCAUCCGCUUUUCGGAGCGGCUGGAAAAGGUAGCUUUGGCCUCCGGCCGAGGAGGAGCCCGCGGCGGAUUAGCUUGUUGGUGAGGUAAUGGCUCACCAAGGCUUCGAUCCGUAGCUGGUCUGAGAGGACGAUCAGCCACACUGGGACUGAGACACGGCCCAGACUCCUACGGGAGGCAGCAGUGGGGAAUCUUGCGCAAUGGGCGAAAGCCUGACGCAGCGACGCCGCGUGCGGGAAGAAGGCCUUCGGGUUGUAAACCGCUUUCAGGAGGGACGAAGCCACUCGGGUUAAUAGCCCAGAGGGUGACGGUACCUCCAGAAGAAGCCCCGGCUAACUACGUGCCAGCAGCCGCGGUAAUACGUAGGGGGCUAGCGUUGUCCGGAUUUAUUGGGCGUAAAGAGCGUGUAGGCGGCCAGGUAGGUCUGCUGUGAAAACUCGAGGCUUAACCUCGAGAUGUCGGCGGAAACCAUCUGGCUAGAGUCCGGAAGAGGAGAGUGGAAUUCCUGGUGUAGCGGUGAAAUGCGCAGAUAUCAGGAAGAACACCCGUGGCGAAGGCGGCUCUCUGGGACGGUACUGACGCUGAGACGCGAAAGCGUGGGGAGCGAACAGGAUUAGAUACCCUGGUAGUCCACGCCGUAAACGAUGGGUGCUAGGUG